rnacentral:tRNA from 1 species
UCAGGGGUAUAGCUCAGUGGUAGAGUGUAUGCUUGUUAUGCACAAGGCCCUAGGUUCAAUCCCCAGCACUGAA